rnacentral:tRNA from 1 species
GGGAGGAGGGUACAACUUGGUGAUAGAGCGCGUGCUUGGCAUGCAUGAGGUCCUGGGUUCAAUCCCCAUGUACUUCCA